rnacentral:lncRNA from 1 species
UCAGCAGGAUGUGGGUGGGGCCAGAUAAGAGAAUAAAAGCAGGCUGCCCGAGCCAGCAUUGACAACUCGCGGGGAUUGUUUUCCACACCGUGGAAGCUUUGUUCUUUUCGUUUUUUGCAAUAAAUCUUGUUGCUGCUCGCUUUUUGGGUCCACAUUGCUUUUAUGAGCUGUACCACUCACCGUGAAGAUCUGCAGCUUCACUUCAGAGCCUAGCGAGACCACAAGCUCACUGAGAGGAACAAACAACUCCAGACGCGCUGUCUUAAGAGCUAUAACACUCACCGCGAAGGUGUGCAGUUUCACUCCUGAGCUAGUGAGACUACGAAGCCACUGGAACGAAGAAACUCCAACCACGUUUGAACAUCAGAAGGGGCAGACUCCAGACGCUUCAUCUUAAGAGCUGUAACACUCACUGUGAAGGUCUGCAGCUUCACUCCUGAGCCAGCGAGACCACGAACCGAUCUGAACAUCAGAAGGGACAGACUCCAGAUGCCCCACCUUAAGAGCUGUAAUACUCACUGCAAGGGUCUGCAGCUUCAUUCUUGAAGUCAGACCAAGAACCCAGCAAUUCCCAACACACAGGGACCAGCUUCUUUCCUAACUCACUUAGGCUCUUCGUGCUGCUCUGGCAACUAACACCCUUGGCUGCAGGGGCUUGGACACUACCCUUAGUCACUGACAAUUGUGUGAAGGCUGCUGUCGUUAACUUCACUUGAUCACCUUAGGCUCCUGUGAAGUGGUGAGCAAUUCAAACAAAUUCCUGUCGUCAAAUCAUAUGGAGAAAUUGCACUGCAGAGAAAUCUUUAAAAGCAAUUACCUAAUACUGCAGAUUGCUGAACUGUACCCACACCCAAGACUGAGCAUUGGAUCAAUCCAGAAUAUACAUCAGGUGUUCUGCAAUGUCUGCCUAAAACCAUGACUCUGCCUCCUCCAGCUGUUGCUACAUCUCACUAUGGGUUUCCUGUGACAUUUUGAGCAAGUAUGCCUCUGUGACUGGGGUUCUUACACUCCAGAAUGGAUGAGAAGCACCGUAAGUGGCUUUUAAAAUGAAUAUUCCCUGGCCCUUCAGUCGCUCUAUAGGUCAAGAAUCUGAAUUCUCAACCUGUCUAGAAGGUUCUGGUUUUAAUGGUCUGUGGGCUGCACAUUGAGAAACCUGUUCAGCGAGUGCAACAAAGGUUCCACAUGUGAGAAAGGAAGCAUCAGGUCUCUUGAGCCUGUUCUUUAAUCUGUAGGCUGCACCUUCUCUUUAAAUUCUGCUAAUAACACCAUGCGAGAAAACACCCGAGCUUGAAAAGCCCAUGUUCCAACAUAACUGUCCUUCACCACUCUGGAAAAUUAAUGGUUUGUUUCGAUUAUCCCUUUGUUAAACUCCAAAGUCAAAGAGCUCUGAAAGGCAUACGGUUAUUUUAAGUUUCAGGUGAUUUCUGUUGCCAAAUAUUUUAAAAAUUUAAAAUUGCUACGUGACCUCUUAGUAGUACUAUUAGAUUUCCUGACAAUAAAAAUAAGUCUUUUGGUUUCACCAUUUAUAGUUAGUACAGCUAAUAUUAAGUAUAAUUUUAAAAGCCUUUUAUUUUCUCAGAAAGAAAAAAUAAUCAAAAUCUGCUCAGUGUGGUAUUGAAUAAUUAAAAACAAAAGAACAGUAUCUUCACAUUAGUGUUUAAUAUUAAUUGCUUUUUUACCCUUGACACUGGUGCUAAUUAAAUUUUCAUUUUAUUUUCCAUGACUUGUUUAAACAGUUUUUGCAAAUUAUUGCUAAUCAGCCUAAUAAAACUGAAUCACC